GUCACCAAAAACCUACACGCCUGAGUUUGGUUACUGAUAGUAUCAUAGAGAUAGAGAAUGUGCAACGUUAAGCCAAAUCUAAAAUGUUAAACUAAGGUUCCCAUUGGAGAUUUGGACGUGAUUGAUUUCCCUAUUUAACCACAUAGAGAUACAAACAGAGACACAGACAUAGAAUUCAAGCCAGCUGAUUACCAUAUCCUAACUAACUCCAUUACUGAAUGCUUAAAGACACUAACGCUUCCUUCAACAUAUCUUACACUCACUCGAAAACAAUAAGAUCCAUUCAAGUACACUACAAAAGUCUCCAAAUCAGACUGAACUCAGAAAUGAGCUGAUAUUGGAACUGCCAAAUUCUGUGACUACCAGUUCUCACUCUGCUAAUAAUUGAUCCUAGCUCGCUAUAUCCCCAGCGAAUACACAUUUACAGUUCUACUAUAGGUAUCAUCAAUCAUCAAACAAAUGAAGAAUCUGAGAAAGAACAAAAAGAAAACUUUUCUCACCUGAUCAA